AGUUAAAUCAGAAGUUUUCAUAUUUCUGAUACCUCGUAUGAAAACUGCAUGUGCAGUCUGAUUAUUUUGCAAGACUGAAGCUU